rnacentral:tRNA from 1 species
UGUUUUAGAAACAUCAGGGGCCAACAGAUCGCCAGAUCGUUGAGCUCCAUUGGCGGGAUUUCGCCGUCUACGUUUCUCUUUCUUCGCGGACGAACACGCGCUGGGCCUGCACGCAGCAGGAUCCCAUGGUCCUUAACGGGAUAUGCGUUAGGGGCUUGUAGCUCAGUUGGUUAGAGCGCGCGCUUGAUAAGCGUGAGGUCGGAAGUUCAAGUCUUCCCAGGCCCACCACACUCAUCGAGUGAGCAUUCGUCUUCUGGUUACGGGGCCAUAGCUCAGCUGGGAGAGCGCGUGCUUUGCAAGCAUGAGGUCGUCGGUUCGAUCCCGUCUGGCUCCACCAGCCUUCGCUGGCUGACGCCAGCUACGGCUAGGUAAACCGACCGGUGCGAAGGCUGCCACGUCGAAGCUCGUAAGAGCGAAGACGGGCUGGCGCCAGCAACGACCAAACGUCGUCCGCGAGACAUCACUUCGCAUCCUGCUAGUCUGGAUAGACAGCAAGAUGCGUGUUUUCUGACAUCGUAAAGAGGAGAUCGAUCCGAGUUGGGUCGUGCAGCAGAUUGUUGCGCGAAUCCUUCAUUAUCUCCGGAUCAUUUUCGGCGCUCAACGCUGACCGCAAGGUUGGCUCUCGAGUUGUAAAAUGAUCCUUUUAGCGAAGCUUGACCGCCUCGCUAUCGGAACGAUCUUACGAAGCAAGCUGGUCUUUCUAAUCAUUGUCCGGCUGCAGAUAGCGUUCAUCGAGGGCGCGUGCCGCAAGGUAAUUCUGCAGACAACAUUCUGCCGAGUGUGUGGACAUUGAUAAUGAGAGCAAU